rnacentral:rRNA from 1 species
GAUGAACGCUGGCGGCGUGCCUAAUACAUGCAAGUCGAGCGAACGGACGAGGAGCUUGCUCCUCUGACGUUAGCGGCGGACGGGUGAGUAACACGUGGAUAACCUACCUAUAAGACUGGGAUAACUUCGGGAAACCGGAGCUAAUACCGGAUAAUAUAUUGAACCGCAUGGCUCAAUAGUGAAAGACGGUUUUGCUGUCACUUAUAGAUGGAUCCGCGCCGCAUUAGCUAGUUGGUAAGGUAACGGCUUACCAAGGCAACGAUGCGUAGCCGACCUGAGAGGGUGAUCGGCCACACUGGAACUGAGACACGGUCCAGACUCCUACGGGAGGCAGCAGUAGGGAAUCUUCCGCAAUGGGCGAAAGCCUGACGGAGCAACGCCGCGUGAGUGAUGAAGGUCUUCGGAUCGUAAAACUCUGUUAUUAGGGAAGAACAAAUGUGUAAGUAACUAUGCACGUCUUGACGGUACCUAAUCAGAAAGCCACGGCUAACUACGUG